rnacentral:rRNA from 1 species
AGAGUUUGAUCAUGGCUCAGAUUGAACGCUGGCGGCAGGCCUAACACAUGCAAGUCGAACGGUAACAGGAAGCAGCUUGCUGCUUUGCUGACGAGUGGCGGACGGGCGAGUAAUGUCUGGGAAACUGCCUGAUGGAGGGGGAUAACUACUGGAAACGGUGGCUAAUACCGCAUAACGUCGCAAGACCAAAGAGGGGGACCUUCGGGCCUCUUGCCAUCAGAUGUGCCCAGAUGGGAUUAGCUUGUUGGUGAGGUAACGGCUCACCAAGGCGACGAUCCCUAGCUGGUCUGAGAGGAUGACCAGCCACACUGGAACUGAGACACGGUCCAGACUCCUACGGGAGGCAGCAGUGGGGAAUAUUGCACAAUGGGCGCAAGCCUGAUGCAGCCAUGCCGCGUGUAUGAAGAAGGCCUUCGGGUUGUAAAGUACUUUCAGCGGGGAGGAAGGUGUUGUGGUUAAUAACCGCAGCAAUUGACGUUACCCGCAGAAGAAGCACCGGCUAACUCCGUGCAAGCAGCCGCGGUAAUACGGAGGGUGCAAUCGUUAAUCGGAAUUACUGUGCGUAAAGCGCACGCAGGCGGUCUGUCAAGUCGGAUGUGAAAUCCCCGGGCUCAACCUGGGAACUGCAUUCGAAACUGGCAGGCUUGAGUCUUGUAGAGGGGGGUAGAAUUCCAGGUGUAGCGGUGAAAUGCGUAGAGAUCUGGAGGAAUACCGGUGGCGAAGGCGGCCCCCUGGACAAAGACUGACGCUCAGGUGCGAAAGCGUGGGGAGCAAACAGGAUUAGAUACCCUGGUAGUCCACGCCGUAAACGAUGUCUACUUGGAGGUUGUGCCCUUGAGGCGUGGCUUCCGGAGCUAACGCGUUAAGUAGACCGCCUGGGGAGUACGGCCGCAAGGUUAAAACUCAAAUGAAUUGACGGGGGCCCGCACAAGCGGUGGAGCAUGUGGUUUAAUUCGAUGCAACGCGAAGAACCUUACCUGGUCUUGACAUCCACA